CCUACGGGUGGCAGCAGUGGGGAAUCUUAGACAAUGGGGGCAACCCUGAUCUAGCCAUGCCGCGUGAGUGAUGAAGGCCUUAGGGUCGUAAAGCUCUUUCGCCUGUGAUGAUAAUGACAGUAGCAGGUAAAGAAACCCCGGCUAACUCCGUGCCAGCAGCCGCGGUAAUACGGAGGGGGUUAGCGUUGUUCGGAAUUACUGGGCGUAAAGCGCACGUAGGCGGAUUAGAAAGUUAGGGGUGAAAUCCCGGGGCUCAACCUCGGAACUGCCUCUAAAACUCCUAGUCUAGAGUUCGAGAGAGGUGAGUGGAAUUCCAAGUGUAGAGGUGAAAUUCGUAGAUAUUUGGAGGAACACCAGUGGCGAAGGCGGCUCACUGGCUCGAUACUGACGCUGAGGUGCGAAAGUGUGGGGAGCAAACAGGAUUAGAUACCCUAGUAGUC
rnacentral:rRNA from 1 species